GCCAGUGUGGCAUAGUUGUUUGAAUGUUGGACUAUGACUCUAGAGACCAGGGUUUGAUUCCCAGCUCAGGCA